rnacentral:rRNA from 1 species
AUUAGGAAUCUUGCACAAUGGGCGAAAGCCUGAUGCAGCGACGUCGCGUGGAGGAUGAAAUCUUUCGGGAUGUAAUCUCCUUUUAACGGGGAAGAAAAAAAUGACGGUACCCGUUGAAUAAGCCCCGGCUAACUACGUGCCAGCAGCCGCGGUAAUACGUAGGGGGCGAGCGUUGUCCGAAGUUACUGGGCGUAAAGCGCGCGUAGGCGGUUCGGUAAGUCGGGUGUGAAACCUCCAGGCUCAACCUGGAGACGCCACUCGAUACUGCUGUGACUUGAAUCUGGUAGGGGAGCACGGAAUCUCUGGUGUAGCGGUGAAAUGCACAGAUAUCAGAGGGAACACCGGUGGCGAAGGCGGUGCUCUGGGCCAGUAUUGACGCUGAUGAGCGAAAGCGUGGGUAGCGAACAG